CCAAAGUGUUGGAAUUACAGGCGUGAACCACCAUGCCUGGCCAGCUCUAUUUCUUUAAGCCUACAUGUUUUGCACUUGUUAAAAGUAUUUGAAUAUACAAUUACUCAGUUUCCCUUGUUUAUGCUUGAAUUUUGUAUAAUCUUAAAUAUUUUUUCCAAUCUAAGCUUUAUUUUAUCCCGUUUCUUCUAUAUUUGUAUAACUUUAGGUGGCUAUCUUCAUUGAAAAUUUUUUCUCAAAAGCCUUAAAAUAGAACAUAGUUCUUGGCAGCAAUUUAAAGUUAUUUGAGGAGAAGGGGAGACUUACAAUGAUGCUUCAAUUGAAGCAAACUAAAAAGUAAUGAAGCAAGACAGAGGAAAAAGCAGUAUUCACUUGAGCACAUCCCAAAAGAAUAACAUUUCAAAUGUAACUAGAAAAAAGAUUGCUGAAGUUUGCAAUACAGAAAUAAUUAUUAAGAUAGCUUUAAAGCCCUGCUCAGCUUUUGAAUGUUGGGAAUUGACCCAGAGGUGGCUGUAAACUAAGAUGGUUCCUUCAGUAAUGACCAUUUUUUCUUUUUCAAGAUGAUGAUUAUUCCCCACCUUCUAGGACACAAAGACCAACGAGCCACCACAGCCACCAGUCCCAGAACCCGCUAAUGCUGGGGAACGGAAAAUGAGGGAGUUCAACUCUGGCCCUCACAAUCCAGUGGAGGAGACGAAACUCAUCUGCCUCUGUCCCUCUGGGCACGCCUCAUGCCAGGUGCAUCUGUGGACAGGGGCCAUGCUCCUGGGCUUCCAAAGUUGGAGAAAGCUGCCAGGCUCAGAGCCACCUAAGCUGAAGAUUCCCUUGAGAACAAGUACUGUCCUGCGGUUUCAUGGCCUUUCUUCCAUUUGUGGUUCUUGCGAAGUGGAAUUUAAAUGACAUCUUAUCAAGAUCGAUAAAUACUAGUUUCCCAGUGCUGGAAUAUAGAAAAUGGAUGGACAAGUAAAUCCCACUCAGCACCCAUAGUCCAGGCAUGGGGACCUCAACACACCUGAGCCCCAAACAUCACCUUUCAUUCUGGACCUACCAUGAAAGACUUCUGAAUCCAGGAAGAGAAACUGACUGGGCAACAUGUUAUUCAGAAACAGGACCUUGCCCUGUCACUCAGGAUGGAGUUCAAUGGUCCUAUCAUGGCUCAUUAUAGCCUUAAACUCCCAGGCUCAAGCAAUCCUACCAUGUCAGCCUUCCCAGUAGCUGGGACUACAGGAAGUGACCUCACAAUGACUCAAGCUACCACAUACUGUUGAUUGUGAAAUGCCAGUUGAAGCAUAUGUCCUGCGAGCUUAGGGGUGCUACAAGUUGACCACUGCAGCAGUAAAGAUGACUCUGAAGAAUGGCAUGGGAUGGAUCCUUUCGAAUGCACUUGAGCAGCGGUCUCCAACCACAGGGCCACAGAGCUGGAGAUGGACAGUCUAGUUGCAGGAGAACAAGCUCAGAGAUCCCACUGAGUCUACGUUAUACUGGAUCUACCAUGAAAGACUUCUGAAUCCAGGAAGAGAGACUGACUGGGCAACAUGUUAUUCAGGAGAUGGGGUCUCACCCUGUCACCCAGGCUUGAGUACAG
rnacentral:lncRNA from 1 species